AGUGAACGCUGGCGGUAGGCCUAACACAUGCAAGUCGAACGGCAGCACAGUAAGAGCUUGCUCUUACGGGUGGCGAGUGGCGGACGGGUGAGGAAUACAUCGGAAUCUACUUUUUCGUGGGUGAUAACGUAGGGAAACUUACGCUAAUACCGCAUACGACCUACGGGUGAAAGCAGGGGAUCUUCGGACCUUGCGCGAUUGAAUUAGCCGAUGUCGGAUUAGCUAGUUGGCGGGGUAAAGGCCCACCAAGGCGACGAUCCGUAGCUGGUCUGAGAGGAUGAUCAGCCACACUGGAACUGAGACACGGUCCAGACUCCUACGGGAGGCAGCAGUGGGGAAUAUUGGACAAUGGGCGAAAGCCUGAUCCAGCCAUGCCGCGUGGGUGAAGAAGGCCUUCGGGUUGUAAAGCCCUUUUGUUGGGAAAGAAAAGCAGCAGGUUAAUACCCCGCUGUUCUGACGGUACCCAAAGAAUAAGCACCGGCUAACUUCGUG
rnacentral:rRNA from 1 species